UACGUAGGGACCAAGCGUUGUUCGGAUUUACUGGGCGUAAAGGGCGCGUAGGCGGCAUGACAAGUCACUUGUGAAAUCUUCGGGCUUAACCCGGAACGGCCAAGUGAUACUGUCGCGCUAGAGUGCAGAAGGGGCAAUCGGAAUUCUCGGUGUAGCGGUGAAAUGCGUAGAUAUCGAGAGGAACACCAGAGGUGAAGACGGGUUGCUGGGCUGACACUGACGCUGAGGCACGAAAGCCAGGGGAGCAAACGGG
rnacentral:rRNA from 1 species